rnacentral:lncRNA from 1 species
UUCACAUCUGUGCAUCACGGCCCGGGCCAGGCACAGAGCCAAAGGGGCCGAAUUCCUACGAGCCCGUGCAGCUCCCAGCGGGCUGACGGCGCUAGGACCCAGAGGGGGAGCUCCGGCGUGUGAGUCAGUGCGGGGCAGCAGAGCCGGGAGCGGUGAAUGAGGCUGGGAAGGCAGCGGGAAUGUGAAUGGCUCUUCUGGCUCCCCAAAGUGUCCGCCAACCGCAAACCAACCCGCACAACCCUCCGGACCCCCCCCUCCGUACCCCCGGAGUCCAGCGGGACCGCUCUGAGAACACAGAAUAAGCGACUCCCAGGCUCGGCUCCGCAGUCCCACUGGCCCGAUGGCAUGCUGCAACCGACCCCAGCUCAGCGUCGGGAGGAUAUAAAGACCGUGCUGGGGGAGCAGUUUUUUGUGCAGUAUACUCAGAGGUAAGCACAACACACCCGCUCUCCUCAGAGCAGACUGAAAUUGCCUAUUACCAGUAUCGCACCAGUAUCAUUACCAGUAUCACCUGCUUGACCAACAUAAAAGUGGGGGAGAGUUGACACCUUGAACUUAAAAAAAUCAUCGGUGUGUCUUCUAAAGAAUGAAAAGUAGGAAAGUUUGCAUUUAAUACUCAUACUUUAGGGAAAACUUAGUUAUUUGACUUAUGUAAUAAGUUGCUUUACUUAUAACCACUAGCUAGCUAUUGCCUGGCUAAAAUGAGUUUCCACUUACUCUUGUCUUGUAUUCUGUCUCCAGACAUCAUCGUAUGUUUUCUGGGAAAUGUUUACUUAUAGCAAGAUGGUCCACUUAGAAGUCACAAUUUUCAUUAACAACCUCUGUUUUAGUACAGAUUUUUUAUUUUUGGCAUUGAAAUGCCUGUGACAACCUUUGUGGCCAAUGCACACACUACCAGCACUAGAUCUGGCAGCUCUGCAUCUCCCCAGAAGCUCAGGUGGCUGCACUUGGCACACGUGAUGAACACCUCUAGAAAGCACCAUGAAAGGGUCUAGUAACUAAGCAUGUGACAAAGUUUAGAAAUAACCCCCAAAAUAGCCCGUAAAAUAUCCAUAUGUGUCAGCAAAGAAGUCCACAGCCUAAAGCAUACCUAUUAUUUAAAUGUUAACGUUUUUGCUUGUGUUGUCAUCAAGGCUAGUCCACUUUUUCGAUCUGUCAGUUUCUAUUCUGCACUAAUUUAAUAAUUUAUUAAAAGAUUCAAUGUUGAAUCUUUGGGAAAACUACCAGGUAUCCCAGGUAUUUGCCUGUAUUUGGGCCACACUUUCCACAGAAUGCUUUACCACAAGGAGAGGAAAUACAGGCCAAGUUUAAAAAAAAAAAAAAAAAAAAAGAAAGUAAAGAAAAAGAAAAGAAAGAAAAAAAAGAAAAAAAAAAGAAAGAAAAAAGGAAAAAAAGAAAAAAAAGAAAACAAGAAAGAAAAAAAAAAAGCAAGAUCUUUCUGAUUUUGUGUUAAUGGCCUUAAAGUAAUAAUCUUGGCAUAUGCAACAUAAGAAACUCAGAGAAGGGAGAUAACUGUAGCUGUUUUUAGAGCACUGAAUCUUGUAUAGCACAAAACCAGAAACAGCUCUUUGCUGACACUGCAAUGUCUCUUUUCUAUAGAAGGAAAUAAUAAAAAAAGGGUUUAUGUAUAAACA